GAAUUUUGUUUUUUUUUACGGGCACACGCUUGUGAGUCUGAGACUGGAUGAAGGGCAAACAUUUGACUGUGAGUCUGAGACUUGACGAAGGAUCAUUAGACAGCUGAGUUCGAUCGGUGUCUGGGUCAUAGGGUGGAAGAUGUAGGAGCGAGGAAACGAUUUCGCUGCGAUUGGAGAUGCAGAUCCACCGGCUCAUGGUGAGACACUUCAUACACACAAGAAGGGCGUGCAAGCUGGCCUCCUAAUACGAAGACUACGAUGGUGCACUGCAGGACACCUUUCUCCUUUUAAAUGUUCAAGAAAAAAAAGGACUGUAAUGGACAUGUAUGUGUGUUUUUUUUUUCAAGCUUUUCUCAGUGGUUGUUUCCCAUGAGGUGUGAGUGUAUUUUCAGCUUUGUAUGAGUUUCUUGGCAGUUUUUUGCUGCUUUUGUGCCCUUGUAUACAUAUACUGGCAUUCACACAUUAGCAUGCACAGGCAGGUUGUGUACUGUUCUUAAUAUUAAAACCCUGUUUAUAAGCACUGCAA